rnacentral:rRNA from 1 species
GGCUCAGGAUGAACGCUGGCGGCGUGCCUAACACAUGCAAGUCGAACGGAGUAUAGAAGAAGCUUGCUUUUGAUAUACUUAGUGGCGGACGGGUGAGUAACGUGUGAGCAAUCUGCCUCUAUGAGGGGGAUAACACAGGGAAACCUGUGCUAAUACCGCAUAACAUAUUUUAGUCGCAUGACUUUAAUAUCAAAGGAGAAAUCCGCAUAGAGAUGAGCUCGCAUCUGAUUAGAUAGUUGGUGAGGUAACGGCUCACCAAGUCUACGAUCAGUAGCCGGACUGAGAGGUUGAACGGCCACAUUGGAACUGAGAAACGGUCCAGACUCCUACGGGAGGCAGCAGUGGGGAAUAUUGGGCAAUGGGCGAAAGCCUGACCCAGCGACGCCGCGUGAGGGAAGAAGGUCUUCGGAUUGUAAACCUCUUUCAGCAGGGAAGAAGCAAGUGACGGUACCUGCAGAAGAAGUCACGGCUAACUACGUG